rnacentral:lncRNA from 1 species
CUUCACCCCAGCCGCUGGCUCACAAACCCAGCAGCACCCAGACCUGAGCUUAUCUGCCGAGCAGCGCGGGGCCCUGGGCUCUCCACCCCGGCCUCUCUGAUCUCCGGCCGAGAAAGGACCCUGUCUGGGGAAGAGACCUAGAGUCCACCGAGAGGUACACGUUUUAAUCACCAGGUAUUUUAAUGAUCUGAUCCGCUCUCCUGUUCCAUCCCAGAAGAACAAUGAGAGAUUCCCAGGGAGACGUUCUUGCCUAGUGUGGACUCUGAGCUCUUGGAGCAGCAUCUGGCAGUCUGCAGACCCGCCGCGUGUCAAGGACAGACCUA